UGGGGAAUAUUGGACAAUGGGCGCAAGCCUGAUCCAGCCAUGCCGCGUGUGUGAAGAAGGCCUUCGGGUUGUAAAGCACUUUUGUCCGGAAAGAAAUCCUGUCGGUUAAUACCCGGCGGGGAUGACGGUACCGGAAGAAUAAGCACCGGCUAACUUCGUGUCAGCAGCCGCGGUAAUACGAAGGGUGCAAGCGUUACUCGGAAUUACUGGGCGUAAAGCGUGCGUAGGUGGUCUGUUAAGUCUGAUGUGAAAGCCCUGGGCUCAACCUGGGAACUGCAUUGGAUACUGGCAGUCUGGAGUGCGGUAGAGGGUAGCGGAAUUCCCGGCGUAGCAGUGAAAUGCGUAGAUAUCGGGAGGAACAUCCGUGGCGAAGGCGGCUACCUGGACCAGCACUGACACUGAGGCACGAAAGCGUGGGGAGCAAACAGGAUUAGAUACCCUGGUAGUCCACGCCCUAAACGAUGCGAACUGGAUGUUGGGAGCAAUUAGGCUCUCAGUAUCGAGGCUAACGCGUUAAGUUCGCCGCCUGGGAAGUACGGUCGCAAGACUGAAACUCAAAUGAAUUGACGGGGUCAUAGCUGUUUCCU
rnacentral:rRNA from 1 species